UUAGUGGCGAACGGGUGAGUAACACGUGGGCAAUCUGCCCUUCACUCUGGGACAAGCCCUGGAAACGGGGUCUAAUACCGGAUAACACUCUGUCCUGCAUGGGACGGGGUUAAAAGCUCCGGCGGUGAAGGAUGAGCCCGCGGCCUAUCAGCUUGUUGGUGGGGUAAUGGCCUACCAAGGCGACGACGGGUAGCCGGCCUGAGAGGGCGACCGGCCACACUGGGACUGAGACACGGCCCAGACUCCUACGGGAGGCAGCAGUGGGGAAUAUUGCACAAUGGGCGAAAGCCUGAUGCAGCGACGCCGCGUGAGGGAUGACGGCCUUCGGGUUGUAAACCUCUUUCAGCAGGGAAGAAGCGAAAGUGACGGUACCUGCAGAAGAAGCGCCGGCUAACUACGUGCCAGCAGCCGCGGUAAUACGUAGGGCGCAAGCGUUGUCCGGAAUUAUUGGGCGUAAAGAGCUCGUAGGCGGCUUGUCACGUCGGAUGUGAAAGCCCGGGGCUUAACCCCGGGUCUGCAUUCGAUACGGGCUAGCUAGAGUGUGGUAGGGGAGAUCGGAAUUCCUGGUGUAGCGGUGAAAUGCGCAGAUAUCAGGAGGAACACCGGUGGCGAAGGCGGAUCUCUGGGCCAUUACUGACGCUGAGGAGCGAAAGCGUGGGGAGCGAACAGGAUUAGAUACCCUGGUAGUCCACGCCGUAAACGUGGGGAACUAGGUGUUGGCGACAUUCCACGUCGUCGGUGCCGCAGCUAACGCAUUAAGUUCCCCGCCUGGGGAGUACGGCCGCAAGGUAAAACUCAAAGGAAUUGACGGGGGCCCGACAAGCAGCGGAGCUUGUGGCUAAUUCGACGCACGCGAAGACCUUACCAAGGUUGACUAUACCGGAAAG
rnacentral:rRNA from 1 species